GACGAACGCUGGCGGCGUGCUUAACACAUGCAAGUCGAGCGGUAAGGCCCUUUCGGGGGUACACGAGCGGCGAACGGGUGAGUAACACGUGGGCGACCUGCCCUCAGCUCUGGGAUAAGCCUGGGAAACCGGGUCUAAUACUGGAUAUGACUCCAUGACGCAUGUUGUGGGGUGGAAAGCCUUGUGCGGCUGAGGAUGGGCCCGCGGCCUAUCAGCUUGUCGGGGGGUGAUGGCCUACCAAGGCGACGACGGGUAGCCGGCCUGAGAGGGCGACCGGCCACACUGGGACUGAGACACGGCCCAGACUCCUACGGGAGGCAGCAGUGGGGAAUCUUGCGCAAUGGGCGAAAGCCUGACGCAGCGACGCCGCGUG
rnacentral:rRNA from 1 species